rnacentral:rRNA from 1 species
GAGUUUGAUCAUGGCUCAGAACGUACGCUGGCGGCACGCCUAACACAUGCAAGUCGAGCGGGGUAGCAAUACCUAGCGGCAGACGGGUGCGUAACAUGUGGGAAUCUGCCUUUUGGUUCGGAACAACAUGGGGAAACCUGUGCUAAUACCGGAUAAGUCCUAACGGAGAAAGUUUUAAUGCCAAAAGAUGAGCCCGCAUUUGAUUAGCUUGUUGGUGAGGUAAAAGCUCACCAAGGCUAUAAUCAAUAGCUGAUUUGAGAGGAUGAUCAGCCACACUGGGACUGAGAUACGGCCCAGACUCCUACGGGAGGCAGCAGUGGGGAAUCUUGCACAAUGGGCGAAAGCCUGAUGCAGCGAUGCCGCGUGAGUGAAGAAGGCCUUUGGGUUGUAAAGCUCUUUUGUCGGGAAAGAUAAUGACUGUACCCGAAGAAUAAGGUCCGGCUAACUUCGUGCCAGCAGCCGCGGUAAUACGAAGGGACCUAGCGUAGUUCGGAAUUACUGGGCGUAAAGAGUAUGUAGGCGGCUAGAUAAGUUAAUUGUGAAAGCCCAAAGCUUAACUUUGGAACUGCAAUUAAAACUAUUUAG